UACACCUGAGCUUUUUCUGCUGUGAGAAAGGUUCAUGUGUUGUAGGAGGAAACUCUUGACUUUUUCACCACGGUUUAUAAAAUUAAUUUAUUCCAAGUGAGGAAGAAAAGGAACAUUUAUUUUCAGAGGAUGAACCAACGUCUGCAGGUGAAACAACAGAGCUGAUCCGGCUCGUCAUGAAAUGUGGCUGAAAGCUCCAGAAGAAGGGACAUUGUGGUCUCCAUGGUGACAGAGGUCAUGUGGCUGAGCUCAUAUUUUGUUUUGGCGGCACCUGAAGGUUGCUCGGUGUCCUAUUGAUCACAUUCUUCAUAUAUAUUAUAUUUCUAUUAUAACACAUCUGUCGUCCUAGGAGAGGGAUCCUCUGUUGCUCUUCACGAGCGGAGCCACGAUGAAGCUGGUCUGGCCCAGCGGGGUCCAGUGGUGCAGCACCCUCAGCGUCCACACGCCGGGCCUCAGCGG